rnacentral:rRNA from 1 species
GCAGUCUGCAACUCGAGUGCAUGAAGCUGGAAUCGCUAGUAAUCGCGAAUCAGAAUGUCGCGGUGAAUACGUUCCCGGGUCUUGUACACACCGCCCGUCACACCAUGGGAGCCGACAACGCCCGAAGUCAGUGACCUAACCGAGAGGGAGGAGUUGCCGAAGGCGGGGUUGGUAACUGGGGUGAAGUCGUAACAAGGUAGC